AGAGUUUGAUCCUGGCUCAGAAUGAACGCUGGCGGCGUGCUUAACACAUGCAAGUCGUACGAGAAAUCCUUGGCUUGUCAGGGAGAGUAAAGUGGCGCACGGGUGAGUAUCGCGUGGGUAAUCUGCCCUUGAAUUCAGGAUAACACUUCGAAAGGGGUGCUAAUACUGGAUAAUAUCCUUUUGGUUUAGGCUGAAAGGAUCAAAGAUAGCCUCUACAUGUAAGCUAUUGUUUAGGGAUGAGCCCACGUGCCAUUAGCUUGUUGGUAGGGUAACGGCCUACCAAGGCGACGAUGGUUAGCUGGUCUGAGAGGAUGGCCAGCCACACUGGAACUGAGACACGGUCCAGACUCCUACGGGAGGCAGCAGUGGGGAAUCUUGCGCAAUGGGGGAAACCCUGACGCAGCAACGCCGCGUGGGUGAUGAAGGCCUUCGGGUCGUAAAGCCCUGUCAGGUGGGAAGAAACUUGUCGAUGCGAAUAUCAUCGACACUUGACGGUACCACCGGAGGAAGCACCGGCUAACUCCGUGCCAGCAGCCGCGGUAAUACGGAGGGUGCAAGCGUUGUUCGGAAUUAUUGGGCGUAAAGCGCGUGCAGGCGGUCGGGUAAGUCAGAUGUGAAAGCCUUCCGCUUAACGGAAGAAGUGCAUUUGAAACUGCUCGGCUAGAGUACGGGAGAGGAGAGUGGAAUUCCCGGUGUAGAGGUGAAAUUCGUAGAUAUCGGGAGGAACACCAGUGGCGAAGGCGGCUCUCUGGUCCGAUACUGACGCUGAGACGCGAAAGCGUGGGGAGCAAACAGGAUUAGAUACCCUGGUAGUCC
rnacentral:rRNA from 1 species